rnacentral:sRNA from 19 species
GUCAGCACCCCGCUCUAAAGAGACGGGGCUUCGUGCCUCCUUCUCUAGAUAGCUGACCCGCUUAAGUACCCUGUGUACUACGUUAUCGGCAAGUGUUUAAGUUCCUACCUACGGAUACGCAGCCAGUCUGUAGCUCUAGA